rnacentral:rRNA from 1 species
UCCAGACUCCUACGGGAGGCAGCAGUGGGGAAUAUUGCACAAUGGGGGAAACCCUGAUGCAGCGACGCCGCGUGAGCGAAGAAGUACCUCGGUAUGUAAAGCUCUAUCAGCAGGGAAGAAAAUGACGGUACCUGAUUAAGAAGCCCCGGCUAACUACGUGCCAGCAGCCGCGGUAAUACGUAGGGGGCAAGCGUUAUCCGGAUUUACUGGGUGUAAAGGGAGCGUAGACGGCAGCACAAGUCUGGAGUGAAAUGCCGGGGCUUAACCCCGGAACUGCUUUGGAAACUGUGCAGCUAGAGUGCAGGAGAGGUAAGCGGAAUUCCUGGUGUAGCGGUGAAAUGCGUAGAUAUCAGGAGGAACACCGGCGGCGAAGGCGGCUUACUGGACUGUAACUGACGUUGAGGCUCGAAGGCGUGGGGAGCAAACAGGAUUAGAUACCCCCGUAG